GAUUGACCUCGGAUCAGGUAGGGAUACCCGCUGAACUUAAGCAUAUCAAUAAGCGGAGGAAAAGAAACCAACAGGGAUUGCCUCAGUAACGGCGAGUGAAGCGGCAACAGCUCAAAUUUGAAAUCUGGCCUCUUCGGGGUCCGAGUUGUAAUUUGUAGAGGGUGUUUCGGGCGCGGCGCCGGUCUAAGUCCCUUGGAACAGGGUGUCACAGAGGGUGAGAAUCCCGUACGUGACUGGCGACCAACCCCAUAUGAAACCCCUUCGACGAGUCGAGUUGUUUGGGAAUGCAGCUCAAAAUGGGUGGUAAAUUUCAUCUAAAGCUAAAUACCGGCCAGAGACCGAUAGCGCACAAGUAGAGUGAUCGAAAGAUGAAAAGCACUUUGGAAAGAGAGUCAAACAGUACGUGAAAUUGUUGAAAGGGAAGCGCUUGCGACCAGACCUGUCCGUCGGCGAUCAGCCUCUGUUUUCAGGGGUGCACUCGUCGGCGAUCAGGCCAGCAUCGGUUUGGACGGCGGGAUAAAGGCCUUGGGAAUGUGGCUCCCCUCGGGGAGUGUUAUAGCCCUGGGUGAAUGCCGCCCGCCCGGACCGAGGACCGCGCUUCGGCUAGGAUGCUGGCGUAAUGGUCGUAAGCGACCCGUCUUGAAACACGGACCAAGGAGUCUAACAUCUAUGCGAGUGUUUGGGUGUCAAACCCAUACGCGUAAUGAAAGUGAACGGAGGUGAGAACCCUUUAAGGGGGCGCAUCAUCGACCGAUCCUGAUGUCUUCGGAUGGAUUUGAGUACGAGCAUAGCUGUUGGGACCCGAAAGAUGGUGAACUAUGCCUGAAUAGGGUGAAGCCAGAGGAAACUCUGGUGGAGGCUCGCAGCGGUUCUGACGUGCAAAUCGAUCGUCAAAUUUGGGUAUAGGGGCGAAAGACUAAUCGAACCAUCUAGUAGCUGGUUCCUGCCGAAGUUUCCCUCAGGA
rnacentral:rRNA from 1 species